AUGACAACCAGUGCCUUGGGCCUGGCUUUUCGCGUUCUUCGGACUAGCCAGAGGCUCAGGUUGGUGACCGAGCGGCAGAGUUCCUAGCGCCUGCAGUGUGGUGAACUCCAACUUUUAGGCCAAGUUGAAAAUGCAGCCGACGACCCCCACACUUCUAACUUCAGAAUCAAAACUAUGACCCUAGGGAGUGAGGAGGAGAGUGAAAAAUGCGUAAGUGCUGGCUCCUCCCUUACUCUUCGCUGCCUCUCAGCCUUGUUUCUAUAUUCUCACGGGGCGCUUUGGUCUUUGAAAGGAAGAGGAGAAUGGGGGAGAGGAAGAGCAUGGCUUUGCCAGCUCCUUGCAGCAAUAUAGCAACUUAGAAAUGGCGGGGUCAACGAAAAAAGCCCGGCUAGUGUGAGAAACACCAACAGCAGGCCCAUCUCAGAUCUUCACUAUGGCAACUUAUGCAAGAAACUGUUGAAUUA
rnacentral:lncRNA from 1 species